rnacentral:tRNA from 1 species
CUUAGCUCAGUUGGAUAGAGCAACAGCCUUCUAAGCUGUGGGUCGUGGGUUCGACUCCCUCAGA